GGCCUGGUGGUGUAGUGGUAACAUCUCCUCUCUAAGUAGAGGAUGACACACUUCUGAGGAAGUUCCCUGAUUGACUCGGGGUCAGGCUG